GAAUUUUGGACAAUGGGGGCAACCCUGAUCCAGCCAUCCCGCGCGUGCGAUGAAGGCCUUCGGGUUGUAAAGCACUUUUGGCAGGGACGAAAAGGCUCUGGCUAAUACCUGGAGCUGCUGCCGGUACCUGCAGCAUACGCACCGGCUAACUACGUGCCAGCAGCCGCGGUAAUACGUAGGGUGCAAGCGUUAAUCGGAAUUACUGGGCGUAAAGCGUGCGCAGGCGGUUUGGCAAGAAGGAUGUGAAAUCCCAGGGCUUAACCUUGGAACUGCAUUCUAAACUGCAAGGCUAGAGUAUGUCAGAGGGGGGUAGAAUUCCACGUGUAGCAGUGAAAUGCGUAGAGAUGUGGAGGAAUACCGAUGGCGAAGGCAGCCCCCUGGGAUAAUACUGACGCUCAUGCACGAAAGCGUGGGGAGCAAACA
rnacentral:rRNA from 1 species